UCCCCCUCAGAAAAACACGAAGGUAAGUUCCUGUUCUUUUGAGGGGGCAGUUUCAUGUGACAUAUCUAACACAUGAUGCGGGUUGCGCUCGUUACCCCACUUAAGGGAACACUUCAAAGCACGAGCUGACGACAACCAUGCAGCACCUGUGCACUUGCCUUUUAAGGGGCUACCCACGUUUCCGCGAGUAUUCAAGUGCAUUUCAAGUCCGGGUAAGGUUUUCCGUUUUGUGUCGAAUUGAACCUCAUGCUCCACCGCUUGUGCGAGUCCCCGUCUAUUCCUUUGAGUUUUAAUCUUGCGAUCGUACUUCCCAGGCGGCCGACUUAACGCGUUAGCUGCGCCACUCCGAGGGUCGAUACUCGAAACAGCUAGUCGGCAUCGUUUAGGGCGUGGACUA
rnacentral:misc_RNA from 1 species